UGCGGAUUGGUCCAGUGGCACGGAUGCCCGGCUCUGAAUCGGGAGACCGAGGUUCAACUCCUCGAUCCGCAG
rnacentral:tRNA from 1 species